CCUACGGGAGGCUGCAGUGGGGAAUAUUGGACAAUGGGGGCAACCCUGAUCCAGCAAUGCCGCGUGUGUGAAGAAGGUCUUCGGAUUGUAAAGCACUUUCGACGGGGACGAUGAUGACGGUACCCGUAGAAGAAGCCCCGGCUAACUUCGUGCCAGCAGCCGCGGUAAUACGAAGGGGGCUAGCGUUGCUCGGAAUGACUGGGCGUAAAGGGCGUGUAGGCGGUUUGUACAGUCAGAUGUGAAAUCCCCGGGCUUAACCUGGGAGCUGCAUUUGAUACGUACAGACUAGAGUGUGAGAGAGGGUUGUGGAAUUCCCAGUGUAGAGGUGAAAUUCGUAGAUAUUGGGAAGAACACCGGUGGCGAAGGCGGCAACCUGGCUCAUUACUGACGCUGAGGCGCGAAAGCGUGGGGAGCAAACAGGCUUAGAUACCCCAGUAGUC
rnacentral:rRNA from 1 species